rnacentral:rRNA from 1 species
CCUACGGGUGGCAGCAGUGAGGAAUAUUGGUCAAUGGGCGCGAGCCUGAACCAGCCAAGUCGCGUGAGGGAGGAAGGCCCUACGGGUUGUAAACCUCUUUUGCCGGGGAGCAACGGGCGCCACGUGUGGCGUCACUGAGAGUACCAGGAGAAAAAGCAUCGGCUAACUCCGUGCCAGCAGCCGCGGUACUACGGAGGAUGCGAGCGUUAUCCGGAUUUAUUGGGUUUAAAGGGUGCGUAGGCGGAUCGUUAAGUCAGUGGUCAAAUUGAGGGGCCCAACCCCUUCCCGCCAUUGAAACUGGCUAUAUUGAGUGGAAGAGAAGUAUGCGGAAUGCGUGGUGUAGCGGUGAAAUGCAUAGAUAUCACGCAGAACCCCGAUUGCGAAGGCAGCAUGCCGGCUUCCGACUGACGCUGAGGCACGAAAGCGUGGGUAUCGAACAGGAUUAGAUACCCGGGUAGUC